GGAUAGCAGAAUAGAUUUAAUUUUUUGGAUUUAUUUUUCUUUUCCAUUUUUGGCUAUAAAAGGCCAAUAUUUUCAGUGUAAAAAGGGGGGUGGGGAUUCGAAAAGAGACAGAAAUAAGAAAUAUCAAAAAACAAUUUUGAAGGUGAUUUUUGUUUUUUUUUUCCUUUUAUUGUUUUCGGGUUUUACUUUUUUUUCUUUCCUACUAGUUCUUUUCUUUUAAAAACUAAAGAAAGAGAGGGAGUAGAGGAGAAACUUACCUGCGUAGUGUAGUUGGAGGACCUCUGCUUCAUCGUUAUCGGAGUUGG
rnacentral:lncRNA from 1 species